UACGUAGGUGGCAAGCGUUGUCCGGAUUUACUGGGCGUAAAGAGCGCGCAGGCGGUCGUUCAAGUCGCGUGUGAAAGCCCCCGGCUCAACUGGGGAGGGUCACGCGAUACUGAUCGACUCGAAGGCAGGAGAGGGAAGUGGAAUUCCCGGUGUAGUGGUGAAAUGCGUAGAUAUCGGGAGGAACACCGGUGGCGAAAGCGGCUCACUGGACCAUAACUGACGCUGAUGCACGAAAGCUAGGGGAGCAAACAGG
rnacentral:rRNA from 1 species